rnacentral:rRNA from 1 species
CGGAAUCAUUGGGCGUAAAGCGCGCGUAGGCGGCCCGGUAAGUCCGCUGUGAAAGUCCAGGGCUCAACCCUGGAAAGCCGGUGGGUACUGUCGGGCUCGAGUCCGGAAGAGGCGAGUGGAAUUCCUGGUGUAGCGGUGGAAUGCGCAGAUAUCAGGAGGAACACCGAUAGCGAAGGCAGCUCGCUGGGACGGUACUGACGCUGAGGAGCGAAAGCGUGGGGAGCGAACAGG